GGAAUCUUCCACAAUGGGCGAAGGCCUGAUGGAGCAACGCCGCGUGUGUGAUGAAGGGUUUCGGCUCGUAAAACACUGUUGUAAGAGAAGAAUGACAUUGAGAGUAACUGUUCAAUGUGUGACGGUAUCUUACCAGAAAGGAACGGCUAAAUACGUGCCAG
rnacentral:rRNA from 1 species